UAACACAUGCAAGUCGAACGCAGUAGCAAUACUGAGUGGCAGACGGGUGAGUAACAUGUGGGAAUCUGCCUUGUGGUUCAGGACAACAUUGGGAAACCGAUGCUAAUACUGGAUAAGCCCUUACGGGGAAAGUUUUAAUGCCAUAAGAUGAGCCCGCAUUUGAUUAGUUAGUUGGUGAGGUAAUGGCUCACCAAGACAAUGAUCAAUAGCUGAUCUGAGAGGAUGAUCAGCCACACUGGGACUGAGACACGGCCCAGACUCCUACGGGAGGCAGCAGUGGGGAAUCUUGCACAAUGGAGGAAACUCUGAUGCAGCGAUGCCGCGUGAGUGAAGAAGGCCUUUGGGUUGUAAAGCUCUUUUGUAGGGGAAGAUAAUGACUGUACCCUAAGAAUAAGGUCCGGCUAACUUCGUGCCAGCAGCCGCGGUAAUACGAAGGGACCUAGCGUAGUUCGGAAUUACUGGGCGUAAAGCGCGCGUAGGCGGUUGAGUUAGUUAAUUGUGAAAUCCCAAAGCUUAACUUUGGAACUGCAAUUAAAACUGCUCGACUAGAGUUUGAUAGAGGAAAGCGGAAUACAUAGUGUAGAGGUGAAAUUCGUAGAUAUUAUGUAGAACACCAGUUGCGAAGGCGGCUUUCUGGAUCAACACUGACGCUGAGGCGCGAAAGUAUGGGUAGCAAAGAGGAUUAGAUACCCUCGUAGUCCAUACCAUAAACGAUGAUUGCUAGAUGUUGGAAAUUUAUUUUCAGUAUCGCAGCUAACGCAUUAAGCAAUCCGCCUGGGGAGUACGACCGCAAGGUUAAAACUCAAAUGAAUUGACGG
rnacentral:rRNA from 1 species